rnacentral:tRNA from 1 species
AAGGGUAUAGCUCAGUGGUAGAGUGUGUGCUUAGCAUGCAUGAGGCCCUGGGUUCAAUUCCCAGUAUCUCCA